rnacentral:sRNA from 1 species
UUCUAAUAUAGUAUAUAUCAAUUUGAAGUCUCAUGCAUGUUUAGUGCAAUCUACUGACUCUAGCUAAACUAGAUGACAAGUUGUUUAUUUUAGUAGUUUAAUAAUUCAGUUUAUAUAAAUGUAAUGCAUUCCUAACUAAAUUAAAUCAAUUGAAAAUGGAUUAUAACUUUAUGAUACGUACUACUACAAUAAAAUAAUAUAGUGAAUAAUCUACCAUUAGAAAA